UACGUAGGGUGCAAGCGUUGUCCGGAUUUAUUGGGCGUAAAGAGCGCGUAGGCGGCUCGUUAAGUCGGGUGUGAAAACCCGGGGCUCAACCCCGGACCUGCAUCCGAUACUGGCGGGCUCGAGGCAGGUAGGGGAGAGUGGAAUUCCUGGUGUAGCGGUGAAAUGCGCAGAUAUCAGGAGGAACACCGGUGGCGAAGGCGGCUCUCUGGACCUGUCCUGACGCUCAGGCGCGAAAGCUAGGGGAGCAAACAGG
rnacentral:rRNA from 1 species